rnacentral:rRNA from 1 species
AGCGAACGCUGGCGGCAGGCUUAACACAUGCAAGUCGAACGGUCCUUCGGGACAGUGGCGGACGGGUGAGAAACACGGGGGAACGUACCCUUAGGUUCGGAACAACACAGGGAAACUCGUGCUAAUACCGGAUAAGCCCUUCGGGGGAACGAUUGAUCGCCAUUGGAGCGGGGCGCGUCUGAUUAGCUUGGUGGUGGGGUGAUGGCUAACCAAGGCUACGAUCAGUAGCUGGUAUGAGAGGCUGGCCAGCCUAGCUGGGCCUGGGGCCCGGCCCAGAAUCCUACGGAAGGGAGCAGUGGAGAAUCUUGCGCAAUGGGGGAGAGCCUGACGCAGCCGUGCCGCGUGGAUGAUGAAGGUCUUAGGAUUGUAAUAUCCUUUCCCCGGGGGCGAUAAUGACGGUACCCGGAGAAGAAGCCCCGGCUAACUUCGUGCCAGCAGCCGCCGUAA